CGACGUGAGGGAACCUGCCUUUCAGAGGGGGACAACAGUUGGAACGACUGCUAAUACCGCAUAACACAUAGGUGUCGCAUGGCAUUUAUGUCAAAGAUUUAUCGCUGAAAGAUGGCCUCGCGUCUGAUUAGCUAGUUGGUGAGGUAACGGCUCACCAAGGCGACGAUCAGUAGCCGGACUGAGAGGUUGGCCGGCCACAUUGGGACUGAGAUACGGCCCUGACUCCUACGGAAGGCAGCAG
rnacentral:rRNA from 1 species